UUCGAGUCUUUGAACGCAAGUUGCGCCCGAAGCCAUUAGGCCGAGGGCACGCCUGCCUGGGUGUCACACAUCGUCAUCCCCAUGCAAACGCGCAUCGGGGCGAAAGCUGGCCUCCCGCGGGACACCCAUCGUGGUUGGUCGAAAACCAAGGUAACGUCGGGGUCCCCCCGCGAGAAACGGUGGAUGAGCAACGCUCGAGACCAAUGGCGGCGGCGGACACUCGGUAUUCCAAUGGAUCGGCCCUAGUGCGUUCCUUGCAGAAAGCAAAGACGCUCUCAACGAGACCUCAGGUCAGGCGGGGCUACCCGCUGAGUUUAAGCAUAUCAAUAAGCGGAGGAAAAGAAACUAACAAGGAUUCCCUUAGUAACGGCGAGCGAACCGGGAACAGCCCACCAUGAGAAUCGGUCGCCCUUGGCGUUCGAAUUGUAGUCUG
rnacentral:rRNA from 1 species